rnacentral:rRNA from 1 species
GUGACCUCAGAUCAGGAGA